UGUGCGUCCGUGGUGAUCACAGGAUGCGAGGAACUGGGCUUUACCAUUGGAGGUGGAGGAACAUCUUCCUGGUGGGAAGACUGCCUCGCCGAUCCAGUCGAAUGCUGAGCUCUGGUUCUUGACAUGGUUGACUAUAGUUUUUCUCCUACCUGACGCCCCAAUCUGUUACGGCCAACUCCCUGUCGCUUGUCGCUAGUGAAGAGCACCUGCAAGAUAAAAUCCUCACAGAUCGAAAUUGUGUCCGACGGAAACCCUCCGAUACUUAAGUUAGAGAGAGGGUUGGUGAAUAGCAGAUAAGAAUGUAAAAUGUAAC
rnacentral:lncRNA from 1 species